rnacentral:rRNA from 1 species
GAUGAACGCUGGCGGCGUGCCUAAUACUCGCAAGUCGAGCGAAUGGAUUAAGAGCUUGCUCUUAUGAAGUUAGCGGCGGACGGGUGAGUAACACGUGGGUAACCUGCCCAUAAGACUGGGAUAACUCCGGGAAACCGGGGCUAAUACCGGAUAACAUUUUGAACCGCAUGGUUCGAAAUUGAAAGGCGGCUUCGGCUGUCACUUAUGGAUGGACCCGCGUCGCAUUAGCUAGUUGGUGGGGUAACGGCUCAACAAGGCAACGACGCGUAGCCGACCUGAGAGGGUGAUCGGCUACACUGGGACUGAGACACGGCCCAGACUCCUACGGGAGGCAGCAGUAGGGAAUCUUCCGCAAUGGACGAAAGUCUGACGGAGCAACGCCGCGUGAGUGAUGAAGGCUUUCGGGUCGUAAAACUCUGUUGUUAGGGAAGAACAAGUGCUAGUUGAAUAAGCUGGCACCUUGACGGUACCUAACCAGAAAGCCACGGCUAACUACGUGCCAGCCGCCGCCGUAA